GGGGAGAUGCCCGAGUGGUUAAAGGGGGCAGACUGUAAAUCUGUUGGCGAUGCCUACGAAGGUUCGAACCCUUCUCUCCCCA
rnacentral:tRNA from 1 species